UACGAAGGUGGCAAGCGUUACUCGGAUUUACUGGGCGUAAAGGGCGCGUAGGCGGCGCGGUAAGUCACUUGUGAAAUCUCUGAGCUUAACUCAGAACGGCCAAGUGAUACUGCAGUGCUAGAGUGUGGAAGGGGCAAUCGGAAUUCUUGGUGUAGCGGUGAAAUGCGUAGAUAUCAAGAGGAACACCUGAGGUGAAGACGGGUUGCUGGGCCAACACUGACGCUGAGGCGCGAAAGCCAGGGGAGCAAACGGG
rnacentral:rRNA from 1 species